GGGAUUAGCUCAGUUGGCUAGAGCAUCAGCCUUCCAAGCUGAGGGUCGCGGGUUCGAGUCCCGUUUCCC
rnacentral:tRNA from 2 species